GCUUGCUGUAGAGACCUCUACCACGCCGGCUGGCUAGGUUGCUCUCCAGGAAGUGGAAACAGCCCAGAUUUCUAUCAACUGAGGAAAGGAUAAUGAAAAUCUGACACACAUACACAAUGGAAUUUUACUCAGCUAUAAAAAAAGAAAUUUGCAGAAUUUAAUAAUGAGGCCAUACUGCUGAAUAUACCAUACACGUGGGUCACAGAACAGAGAAAUCAAUGGAGAAUUUACCUGGAAGCCUCCUCACUACUGAUUAGCUUUCAUAGUUCCAGAAGCUGCUAUGAAGACUUUUGGGGAAGAAUAGUCAGCAGCAAUCUUAACUCUACAGUAAACUACACUAGUGGCCAACCUGGUAAUGGAUACCCAUUGGCGCAAUAGUGACAUGAAUAUUAUGGUAGUAACUGAAGACUUUCUGUUUGGAUGAGACCUACUCCACAGGAGAAAACUCAUGCCUUGAACUUUAAAAAUGUCCAUGAAUUGAAGCCACUUGACAAGGAUAGUGAUGCCUUCCAUAGGGGAUCAUCAAAAAAUCUGUCACUUCAUUUGGGGGAGGGACUAGGUCCUCUUUCUUGUAUCUGGGCUGCAAUACUAC